rnacentral:lncRNA from 1 species
CUAAUUAUUGCAAGCGCAAAAAUAACUAAGGUCGGGGAAUUUUGACACACAACCAAUGUCUUUUGAAUUACAACACUCAACACUUACUUUCACGAAUGCCCUGUAAUCACUUGAACCAAAAAAUUCUAUUGAGCACGAACCUAUAUGUGAACUUCAUAUUGCAUAUAGCUAAGCACGCUUAUGUUUACUACGCCUUUAACCAUACACAUCAGCUUAAAGUCACUGGCAUUUUCUUAUGUAUUGGACGGCUACUUCAAACAACAGCAGACUUUUUAGAAAACUAACGAGCUAACAGUUGUCACACAUAGUCCUAUUAUACAACAGCUGUUACAAACUGAGAAUAUGCAACCUGCUGAGAUGUGAUUGGAUCUAAUUAACUAAGAAACCCAAAGGGAAAUAACAUCAAAUAGAGCCAAUACGCAGUUCUUCAUAUCUCUUUGGCAAGAGCACUUUAAGCCAGUCCUUACAUGAUUGAAGUCAAAGUAUAUACCUGGAGAGUAAGAAAAAGCAGCAAUGAAGCAAUCAGUAGAAGAUCAACCACAACAGCACAAACACAACCCAGAUUCAAACAAUAAUCAGUAAAAAAUAAUUCCAAAAGAGUGAUGCACAACAGAUCCCCAGAACUCGAUUUUGAACUAUCUUCACACCCCAAAUCAAUUCAUAUUUUUAAUCUCAAAUAAACCAGGAAAUAUUUCAGGACUCAAAAUUUAAGGAGCCAACCAAAGAAAUCAAUGGAACAAUAAAAUUUUUAUAUUUUUUGUAUUUGUUUCUGUAUUUUUCUACUCUUUUUCUGAUAUUUUUUUAUCACUGAAAUCUCUUCAUCUCUUAAAA